CGUAACAAGGUCUCCGUUGGUGAACCAGCGGAGGGAUCAUUACUGAGUUUACGCUCUAUAACCCUUUGUGAACAUACCUAUAACUGUUGCUUCGGCGGGUAGGGUCUCCGCGACCCUCCCGGCCUCCCGCCUCCGGGCGGGUCGGCGCCCGCCGGAGGAUAACCAAACUCUGAUUUAACGACGUUUCUUCUGAGUGGUACAAGCAAAUAAUCAAAACUUUUAACAACGGAUCUCUUGGUUCUGGCAUCGAUGAAGAACGCAGCGAAAUGCGAUAAGUAAUGUGAAUUGCAGAAUUCAGUGAAUCAUCGAAUCUUUGAACGCACAUUGCGCCCGCCAGCAUUCUGGCGGGCAUGCCUGUUCGAGCGUCAUUUCAACCCUCAAGCUCUGCUUGGUGUUGGGGCCCUACAGCUGAUGUAGGCCCUCAAAGGUAGUGGCGGACCCUCCCGGAGCCUCCUUUGCGUAGUAACUUGACGUCUCGCACUGGGAUCCGGAGGGACUCUUGCCGUAAAACCCCCCAAUUUCCCAAGGUUGACCUCGGAUCAGGUANGAAUACCCGCUGAACUUAANCAUAUCAAUA
rnacentral:rRNA from 1 species